AGAAGGCCGAAGGGGAGCUGGUGGCCUAGUUGGUGGUGGCGCUUGCGGUGUCAGGAUGAUCCCGACGGAGGAGGCGUCUGCCCGGAGGAGGGAAAUAGAAGAGAAACUCAAACAGGAAGAAGAAACAUUGUCUUUCAUCAGAGAGAGUUUAGAAAAAAGUGACCAGCUCACAAAGAAUAUGGUUUCCAUUCUCUCAUCCUUUGAAAGCCGUCUGAUGAAGCUGGAAAAUUCAAUCAUCCCUGUACAUAAGCAGACUGAAAAUCUUCAGCGCCUGCAGGAAAAUGUUGAGAAAACACUGUUCUGCUUGGAUCAUGUUAUAAGUUACUACCAUGUAGCAAAAGACACAGAGAAGAUAAUAAGGGAAGGCCCUACAGGGAGGCUGGAAGAAUAUUUGGGCUGCAUGGCUAAAAUUCAGAAGGCUGUGGAAUAUUUUCAGGACAACAAUCCUGACAGUCCAGAACUCAAUAGAGUGAAAUCAUUGUUUGAAAAGGGGAAGGAGUCAUUGGAAUCUGAAUUCCGUAGCCUAAUGACCAGACAUUCCAAACCAGUUCCUCCCAUUCUCAUUUUGGAUCUCAUCACAAUGGAUGAUGAACUGGAAACUCAGGAAGACAUGACUUUAGAACACCUCCCUGAAAGUGUCCUACAAGACAUUGUCCGUAUUUCUGGUUGGCUGGUGGAGUAUGGUAGGAACCAAGACUUCAUGAACGUUUACUACCAGAUCCGUUCCAGCCAAUUGGACCGCUCUGUCAAAGGGCUGAAGGAGCAUUUCCGGAAGAACAGUUCUUCCUCAGGAGUCCCAUACUCUCCUGCCAUUCAGAACAAGAGGAAAGACACACCAACCAAAAAGCCCAUCAAAAGACCAGUCCUCAUCCCAGGCACGAUCCGUAAGGCUCAGAACCUUCUGAAACAGUAUUCUCAGCAAUGUCUAGAUGGGAAAAAGGGGGCCUCUAACCUCAUUCCUAUGGAAGGGAGAGACGACAUGUUGGACAUGGAGAUUGAUGCAUAUAUCCACUGUGUCAGUGCCUUCAUCAAACUGGCCCAGAGCGAGUACCAGCUUUUGACAGAAAUCAUCCCAGAACACCACCAGAAGAAGACAUUUGACUCCCUCAUUCAGGAGUCUUUAGAUAAUCUGAUGAUAGAGGGUGACAACAUUGUCUCUGCAGCCCGGAAAGCCAUCAUGCGUCAUGAUUAUUCAGCUGUGCUAACCAUCUUCCCCAUCCUGAGGCACUUGAAGCAGACAAAACCAGAAUUUGAUCAAGUUUUGCAGGGCACUGCAGCCAGCACUAAGAACAAACUGCCAAGCCUCAUAACAUCAAUGGAGACCACAGGAGCCAAGGCUCUGGAAGAUUUUGCAGACAAUAUAAAGAACAAUCCUGACAAAGAGUACAAUAUGCCAAAAGAUGGGACAGUUCAUGAGCUCACCAGCAAUGCCAUUCUUUUUCUGCAGCAGUUGCUGGAUUUUCAGGAAACUGCAGGUGCCAUGCUGGCGUCCCAAGUUCUUGGGGACACAUACAAUAUUCCUUUAGAUCCCAGAGAGACCAGUUCUUCAGCUAGUAGCUACAGUUCUGAAUUCAGUAGGCGGCUACUCAGCACUUACAUCUGCAAAGUUUUGGGCAACUUACAACUAAACCUUCUCAGUAAAUCCAAGGUUUAUGAGGACCCAGCUUUAAGUGCCAUCUUCCUGCAUAACAACUACAAUUACAUUCUCAAGUCCCUUGAAAAGUCUGAAUUAAUACAGUUGGUGGCUGUGACACAGAAGACCGCAGAAAGAUCAUACAGGGAACACAUCGAGCAGCAGAUCCUAACGUAUCAGCGCAGGUCAGAAGAACCCUCCUGCCCACCUUUUGAUUGCACCCACACUCCUGCCCUCAUGGCCGUGUGAAAGGGAUUUACAGCAGCCAUGAAUAAAAGCAGGCAAAGUCAACUUCCCUUGCUUGAAAAUGUUCUUCUAGCAAAAUUAUUGACUCGGGGUACAGUCCUAUCCAGCUGAUCCUGUGCACCGCCCAACUCAGUGGCUCAUGGUCUUUCAGUGCUGAGUCACAGGAGCGAUAGAGGUGACAUUUACCUCUGCUGCUCCUCCCACUCUGCAUUUUCACAAGAUGGCCAUUUUGGAGUGGAGGGAAGCAGGCUGGGGUGGCUUCAUGGCAGCUCCCAUCCUGGCCCCUUCUCCCUUCCUAUUCCCUCUCUGGAGACACUUUCCUUGCCUCAGGGACCGGUCAUCAUGAUUCUUUCUGCUCCAGCUGCAAGGGGGCAGUGGAAUAGGGGCCAAAGCUCCAAUUUGCAUGUCCAGCCUCAGAGUUGGGAAUCCAGACUAUACUGCAGUCCCUCAGACAAUUUCUAGAGGUGAUAGGAGUGCUCUUUUGGUCACAUAAUAGUUCUGAAUUGAAGCAGCAAAUCUGUCCUUACAGCUUACAUUCUGUAGGACAUAGAGUGGAUUUGCAUGUCAUACUAACACACAACCCCCUGGGCAAUUUUAUCCAUGAACUGUAUGAAAUUUCUCCGUGCCUGACCGAUGAUCAAGCAGAACAGGAUAUUGUGUCACUCUUUGUCCCCCUCCCUUCCUUGUUUCUUCCCCCACAGUACUUCUGCAGUAUCCCAGGGAUGCUGCAGGUGCAUGAGAAGAGCAGGAUGACAGCAGCCAGGAACGACGACCUGCUCAUGACAUAAAUCCAUACUGGCUAAAAGUAACAGAUUACAUCUCGGACAAAAACUUGCCUGUCUACCAACCUGUAGUCAAGCUCAAAGACAAAGAGAGGCAGGUGAUCAAGGAGCGCUUUAAGG